AUGUUUAGAGCUGUUAAUUCAGGCAGGUGCUAAAGUAAAUAUUAUUGCUGGUGGAGCAACCCCACUACAUAUCGCCGCUGAUAUUGGUAACUCAGAAUUGAUCACAUGCUUGCUUAAAGCUGGCGCUGAUCCCAAUAUGACCGAUGAGGAUGGCUUAAAGCCUGUACAAGUUGCAGCUGCUCGAGGUAACCGGGCUGCUGUUGAGAUGCUUUUACCACUAUCAUCUCAAGUAGAAACCGUUAAAGAUUGGACAGUUGAUGGUAUAAUCAACCAUAUGCAGUCCGAAGGUGCUAAAGAACAGG